rnacentral:tRNA from 1 species
GCGCCCGUAGCUCAGUCGGAUAGAGCACCAGAUUCCUAAUCUGGGGGUCGCAGGUUCAAAUCCUGCCGGGCGCGCCA